rnacentral:misc_RNA from 1 species
GAUGAAGAACGCAGCAAAAUGCGAUAAGUAAUGUGAAUUGCAGAAUUCAGUGAAUCAUCGAAUCUUUGAACGCACAAUGCGCCCGCUGGUAUUCCGGCGGGCAUGCCUGUUCGAGCGUCAUUUCAACCCUCAAGCCCCCGGGUUUGGUGUUGGGGAUCGGCUCUGCCCUUCUGGGCGGUGCCGCCCCCGAAAUACAUUGGCGGUCUCGCUGCAGCCUCCAUUGCGUAGUAGCUAACACCUCGCAACUGGAACGCGGCGCGGCCAUGCCGUAAAACCCCAACUUCUGAAUGUUGACCUCGGAUCAGGUAGGAAUACCCGCUGAACUUAAGCAUAUCAAUAAGCGGGGA